rnacentral:rRNA from 1 species
UUGCAUAAGGGCAUACGGUGGAUGCCUAGACACUAAAAGAGCGAUGAAGGACGUGGCGUAACGACGAUACGCUUCGGGGAGGUGUGUAGCAACCUACGAUCCGGAGAUUUCCGAAUGGGGAAACCCAGUACAGUAAACCUGUAUUAUACAUUUUAUGUAUGCAAACCCGCUGAAGUGAAACAUCUCAGUAAGCGGAGGAAAAGAAAACACAAAUAGUGAUUCCCUGAGUAGCGGCGAGUUAAAAGGGAAGAGCCCAAACCAAAAUAUUAGUUUACUAAUUUUUGGGGUUGUAAGGUAUAUACAUUCUUUUUUCAACCUAGAUCACCCUAGUUUAAUGAUUUAGGUUGAGGAAAGAGAAAAGUUAUAAAUGGACACGUUAGUCGAGUCGUGCUGGAAAGCCGAACUAAAAAAGGUGAAAGUCCUGUAGACGAAAACGUGCUCACUUUUUUGUAUAUAUUCUUGAGUACCUCGAGGGCAGAAAACCUUGAGGGAAUCUGCGAGUACUGUCUCGUAAGGCUAAAUAUCUUUAGUGAUCGAUAGUGAACAAGUACCGUGAGGGAAAGGUGAAAAGCAGGCCGGUGAGGCCGAUGAAAUAGAACCUGAAACCGUAUGCUUACAAGGAGGCGGAGUCCCGAUUUAUCGUGGAUGACGCCGUGCCUAUUGAAGAAUGAGCCAACGAGUUUAUGUAUAUCCUUUGUUUAACUUCUACGGAAGGAAGGCGUAGCGAAAGCGAGUGUUAAUAGCGCGUUUAGGAUAUGGAUAAGACCCGAAGCCAGAUGAGCUUGCCAUGGGCAGGGUGAACCCUACCGAAAGGUAGGGGGAGGCCCGCACCGUUAGGUCGUUUAACGCCUUCGGAUGACCUGUGGUAAGGAGUGAAAAGCUAAUCGAAUCUGGUAAUAGCUGGUUCUCUCCGAAAUAGUUUUUGGACUAGCCUUGAGUGUUUAUGUGUGGGGGUAGAGCACUGGAUGGUCUGAGUAGGAGGAAACUUCGCCAGACCAAUCAAACUCCGAAUACCAUACAAUAUAACUCAGGAGUUAGACUGCGGGGGCUAAGCUCCGUGGUCAAAAGGGAAACAGCCCUAAUCGCAAACUAAGGUCCCAAAAUUUACGCUAAGUGCAUGCAAGGUAGUAUAGUGCCAUAGACAGAUAGGAGGUGGGCUUAGAGGUAGCCAUCCUUUAAAGAGUGUGUAACAACUCACUAUUCAAUGGCAAGAUGCGCCGAGAAUGUAACGGGGCUAAGCGUAGUACCGAAGUUGCGGAUUUAUAUUUUUUUAAAAUAUAAGUGGUAGGAGAGCGUUCUAUAUGCACUGAAGGUGAUUUGUGAAAAUUGCUGGAGCGUAUAGAAGUGAGAAUGUUGGCAUGAGUAACCACAAUGCGGAUGAGAAAUCCGCACCCCGAAAACCCGAGGUUUCCGUGGCACUGGCAAUCAGCCACGGGUUAGGCGACCCUUAGUGUAUGGCGAAAGCCGCACGCGAUGGAUUGCUGGUUAAUAUUCCAGCCCCACCUAUGUUUUUCAAUGAGGGGACGGAGGAAAAGAGAUUGAUCGCCUUAAUGGUUUGGCGUCGCUUGAUUGUAGGAUGGGUAAGCCGUAAAUCGACUUAUCUGCUUUUAAUAGCAACCUCCAAAAUCCGGCGAAAAUUUGAGGGCUAAAGCCCCUCAAGUGAUUCAAUCGCAGAGCCUUCCAAGAAAAGCCUCUAGAGUUAAGGCAUAGGUGUUCGUACCGCAAACCAACACCGGUGGGUAGGGCGAGUAGCCCAAGGGGAACAAGUGAAAUCUCGCUAAGGAACUCGGCAAAAUAGCGGCCGUAAGUUCGCAAUAAGGCCUGCCACCUUCGGGUGGCCGCAGCUAAAGAAUCUCUGGCGACUGUUUAUCAAAAACACAGCUCCCUGCUAACACGUAAGUGGAUGUAUAGGGGGUGACACCUGACCGAUGCGAGAAGGUUAACGUUGGCGGUAUCUGCUUUCGGGUAGAUGCUGACUGACCGAAGCCCUCGUCAAUGUCAGCGGUAACUAUAACCGUUCUAAGGUAGCGCAUUUCCUUUCCGGGUAAGUUCCGGAGCGCACGAAAGGUGUAACGACUGGAGAACUGUCUCAGCGAGAAGCUUGGUGAAAAUACGAUACCCGUGAAGACGCGGGUUACCUGCAGUGGGACGAAAAGACCCCAGGAGCUUUACUGUAGCUUGGUAUUGGUCUUGUUCUUUUAAUGCGUAGCAUAGGUGGGAGACUUUGAAGUUCCGAUUUCGGUCGGGAUGGAGUCGCAAUAUGAAAUACCACUCUUUAUUGGGGCAAGGUCUAACCUAUAAGGAAUCUAUUUGGUAAACCUUAUGGAGACAGUGCCUGGUGGGCAGUUUUUCUGGGGCGGAAUCCUCCUAAAAAGUAACGGAGGAGUUUAAAGGUCAGCUAGACUCGGAUGGAAAUCGAGUUGGUCGUAUAAAGGCAAAAGCUGGCUUGACUGCAAGACCUACAAGUCGAGCAGACGCGAAAGCGGAACUUAAUGACCCGACGAACCUUUACAGGAAGGUCGGAGACAACGGAUAAAAGCUACCCUGGGGAUAACAGGCUAGUCUUGCCCGAGCGUCCAUAGCGACGGCAAGGUUCGGCACCUCGAUGUCGGCUCAUCUUAGCGCGGGGCUGGAGAAGGUCCCAAGCGUUUGGCUGUUCGCCAAUUAAAAAGGUACGCGAGCUGGGUUCAGACCGUUUAGAAGCGGAUAUUUAUCGGCUUUUAAACAGUCUGAGCCCGAGGCAAAUGACAUCAUACACGGCGGCCAUAGAAAGUAAUUUCUAUGUGUAAAGCUAACUUAUAUCGGUGAAGUCCUAGUGAUAAGUUAUUUUAAAAUAACCUGUCAUAUGUUAGGAUAAUACCGAGGGAAGUCUUAUAUGUUAAAAUCACUUACACCAAUUAAGAAAUCAUACAUAGCCGGUUUCCUUGAUGGAGACGGUAGUAUAUAUGCUAGAGCUAAACCUAAUAAAUCAUAUAAAUAUGAUUUUUAAAUAGCUUUAUAUAUAGUUCUUUUUCAAGCUCAAAAAGAUAAAGAAGCUUUUAAGAAAAUAUGCAACUUAAUUGGUUUUGGAAAAUUAAGAUUAAGAAAAGAUGGAAUAUUAGAAUAUUCAAUAAAUCGUAUAGAUGACAUUGAAUCUUUUAUUAAAAAUAUUUCUCCAUUUUUAAUUCUUAAGAAAAAACAAGCAGAUUUAAUGCUUAAAAUUAUAAAAGCUAAAAAAUCUGUUAAAAAUGAAAAUGAUUUUCAAAAACUUUUAGAUUUAAUUUAUAUCUAUAAAGAUUUAAAUUAUUCUAAAAAUAGAAAAAAACGUAUAAUGACACCCGUAGAGACUAAACGUUAGCCUCCUUAAUAGAUUAAGGAUGAAUUUAUAGUCCAAUGCCAUUAGUAAUAAUGGGAAUACAUGCGUGAGACAGGUUGGUCUCUAUCUACUGCAGGCGUUAAAUAUUUGAGGGAAGCUGACUCUAGUAAAAAAUUGCUACUUCAUGAAGUAAUUCAUGAUGACAAAACGGCUAAUAACGGUGAAACCUUCAUAAAUUAUAUGGUCAGUAUCACGGCUCAUAAGUGACAACGGUCCGUCUCUUAUGGUAUAAUACUUGAGGACCAAUAAUUUUUAAGGCAAUACCGUGGGAAGUCAAUCUAAAAUAAAUAUGGCAUAUAUAGCAGGCUUUCUUGAUGGAGAUGGUAGUUUAAUGAUUCAAGUUAAAAAAAGACGAGAUCUUAAGUUUAAGAAAAAACAGGCUGAAAUUAUGUUAAAAACAUCAUCUUUAUUAGAAUCCAAAAAAAUAUCAGAUUUAAACAAAUCGGAUCUUAAAAAAAUUAUAAAUUGGAUUUUGUCUAUUCAAAGUGAAAAUUACAAAUCACAUAGAAAGAAAAGUAAAGAAGACCUUGUGAAAAUUUUAGGUUUGACCCCGUAACGACUGAUCCGAAAGGAGAGAGUAUUAUUUAAUAAUACUAAUACGCCGUCCCCAAUCCUCUUAAAAAUUUAAGAGAAAUUUAAAGAAUAUGAAGUUAAACUUCUAAGUUCCAAAGAUUGGGUGAAGAUAUAGUCUGCGCCCCUAGAAAUAGGGGAAUAAACACUAAUUAAGUGUAAGCGACGAGAGGACCGAGUUGGACGAACCACUGGUCUAUCGGCUUUGCCACCAGGUGAAAUGCCGAGUAGCUAUGUUCGGACGGGAUAACCGCUGAAAGCAUCUAAGCGGGAAGCCUCUCCCAAGAUAAGAUAUAUGUUCUCGUGGAAGACUACCACGUUGAUAGGCUCUAGGUGUACGCACAGUAAUGUGUUUAGCCAAGGAGUACUAAUGAACGAGCAGUCGUCUCAACCAU